GGCAUGCGCGCACACACUUAUGUUGCAGGGUACUUGAGGGCUGUGGUGUUGGGUCCAGUCGCGCUGCCUUUCACUUCCCGGAGUCACUUCCGUUUUCUAGCCCAGCACCCCCAGACUUCUCCGGGGUUCUCGGAUAGCAAAAGCGGAUUUCAUUGAAUAUCUAGGGCAGAACAGUCCUGCAGACAGGCGGUUUGGAUCAAGCAAGCCAGUUCUCUGAACCUGAACAAUGACUGCUGAAUCAAGGGAUACUACAGAUUUCUCUCCCCAGGCUACCCAAGAGAUGGAAGGCAUAGUGAUAGUGAAAGUGGAGGAGGACGAUGAGGAUGACCAUUUUCAAAGGCAACAAAACAACAUAGAAGUAUCACUACAAUUUCUUAGUCGUUCCACAACUAUGAAUGAGAGAGCCUUACUAUCAUCCUAUUUAGUUGCAUAUCGAGUGGCAAAAGAGAAGAUGGCUCACACAGCUGCAGAAAAAAUUAUUCUCCCAGCAUGUAUGGAUAUGAGCAAUGAGGAUCGCAAAAUGGAAACCCACGGAUGUCAUCUACAACAGAACAAGGUGACAGCACCACUGACAGAAAACUAACAUGGUCUCAAUCCAUUGUGUAAAGGAAGCAGAAGCAACAAGCAUCUAACAGGUUUGAAAAACACAAAAUAACCAGCAGGAACUCAUACAAAGUUUCAGUGAACUAUAUUAAGAACAGCAGCUGAAACCAGAAGGAGUUUGCCCACUUCCACUGAGGGUAAGUGUUAGGGGCUGGUGGUAAAGUCUGGGGGCAGCACAGGCUCUGACAUAGAAUCCAAACUGACCAAGAUGGGGACAGAAGAGACCAAGCCUUACGUUUGUCCUUGAGGACUAUUUGGUUUGGUUUCCUUUACCCAGAAUUGGGAUCUGUUUGGCUCCUGAUUGGGGAUGAUUUGCUUUUGGCCAAGUUCCAUCUUGGAAGUUUGCAUAAACACUAUCUUUACAGACCAUGGCGAUUUUCAUGGGGUCUCUUCUAUCUAAAGUCCUGACUCUUUUGGGUCAAUACCUGCUUCCUUCAUGUUUUUUCACUGUAACUAGUAUGUAUAUCCCACCAGUACAAUUUCCCCAGGGACAAUUUGGAAUUGUAAUGGCCACUUUGAGGAAACUUGAUAUUAACAAGAUAGUUCAUUUGAGAAGUGCCUUUAAAAAAGGAAGAAACCCUAGAGUUUUUGUCUUGUCUUGCUUAAUGUAUGAAACGUGUCCACUGCUGCUCCCUACUCUAUUUUAGGGCUUAAUAAGCACCGCCUUCUGAAUUGUAGGGCUGUUUAAACCUCAUUCUGCCUUAUUUUUUUCUCUUUCCCUUUCAUUUUCCCUGUGUUGGGAAACCUUUAAAGAUUAAUUGACAAGGGAAAAUGAGAUUGUCACUUUCUGUGUAGUCUUAAAAAUACUAGAUAGUUAAAAGUUAAGUAUAAGUAAGGAAAAGGUAUUGAUAUAGGUCUUGCUUUACGAAAAAUUUGAUGUAUUAGUGAUUACUACUGAGGGCAUUUUUAUAUGAAAUUACUAUGCAUUUUUUAUGAAUAAUACCUACUGCAUAUUGCGCACUUUCUUCGUGUCUGUUUUAACUUUGUUUAUCCUAUUUUUCCUGUACAGAAAUUUUACAUUUUUUAUGUAGUGAAAUCUGUCAGUCUUUUCCUUUAAGACUUCUGGGUUUUCUGUCAUAAUAAGACUUCUCUAUACUAAAUAUAUUAGAGGAGGCUAAACUGCCAAAAUAAAUAGGCCCAACAUGUAAGGGCCCAAAUAAAAUAGAAGUUAUUUUGUUCUCUUAAUCAUCCAGGACUGUUGCUCCAGACUGGGAGGAGGUGGGUUCAAAUGGAGUCAUUCAGGGACCCAGACACACUGGCUCUAUCACCUUCAAUAUUAUGGUUUCCAAGGUCACUCUGGCUAUGGAAAAGUUUGCCUGAAAGGUUUUACAGGCUAGAGCUGUAAAACCUUUUUUUUUUUUAAUUCAGUGAUUUUUAAUGUAUUCAGAGUAUUGUACAAGCAUCAGCAAUAAUUGCAGAACAAUUCCAAAACCCCAGAAAGAAACCCUUUACUUCCCAAUUUCCCCUUCCCCCAUCCUAUGGUAACCACUAAUCUACUUUCUGUCUCUAUGUA